GUCGGGAUGUACAAGUACCCGGCCACGUCCAAUUGUAUUUUUGUCCAUCUGAUGAGUUAAGUCUUUUUCAACUGAUUUUUAUAGUUCGUUCUUAUGUUGUACUGUUAUACCACUGUCCCAGGUUAGGGAGAGGGUUGGGAUCCCGCUAACAUGUUUAACCCCUCCACAUUAUUUAUGUAUGUGCCUGUCCCAAGUCAGGAGCCUGCAAUUCAGUG
rnacentral:lncRNA from 1 species